GAUGAACGCUGGCGGCGUGCCUAAUACAUGCAAGUCGAGCGAACAGAUGAGGAGGUUGCUCCUCUGACGUUAGCGGCGGACGGGUGAGAAACACGUGGAUAACCUACCUAUAAGACUGGGAUAACUUCGGGAAACCGGAGCUAAUACCGGAUAAUAUAUUGAACCGCAUGGUUCAAUAGUGAAAGACGGUUUUGCUGUCACUUAUAGAUGGAUCCGCGCCGCAUUAGCUAGUUGGUAAGGUAACGGCUUACCAAGGCAACGAUGCGUAGCCGACCUGAGAGGGUGAUCGGCCACACUGGAACUGAGACACGGUCCAGACUCCUACGGGAGGCAGCAGUAGGGAAUCUUCCGCAAUGGGCGAAAGCUUGACGGAGCAACGCCGCGUGAGUGAUGAAGGUCUUCGGAUCGUAAAACUCUGUUAUUAGGGAAGAACAAAUGUGUAAGUAACUAUGCACGUCUUGACGGUACCUAAUCAGAAAGCCACGGCUAACUACGUG
rnacentral:rRNA from 1 species